UAUAGCAUACUCAAAACGUUUUUGUUUAAUUUUUUUUACUUGUUGAUAUGUUUUAGUAUUGUUUAAAAUGUUAAAAUACGUAAAGCAAGCCAAGCUAAUAUAAAAAAUAUGUAAUUAUGCUCACCGUUGUCUGAACUGCUAUUCGCUGGGUGCAUUUCUUCAAAUUCUUCAAUCACUUCUUUUUCUGGGUCCUCGGAUUGCAUUUCACUUUCACCAAUUUCUCUAACUCCAGUAAUGGUAUCCUCCGGGUCUUUACACAUGACGGGACAUCACUCACAGCGGGUUCAUGACUGGAUAGCAGCCGGCUCUGUACGUUAUCUGACGUAGCCCUUGUGGAUUUUUUUCUCCCAAACUCAAUUUUUGAAAUAGCGCUUUCUGUGGUCAAAAUACUGUGUAUGACACAGUUCAGUGUUGCAAUGUUCACAGAAGCGGCGAGGUCGUUUCUUCAGUCUUGGGACUUCCAUCUUUCAACUGACAGCACACUGUGUUGAUAUCACACAAAGAUUCCGGCACAUCGCGUUUGUUUAUAUCAUACGCAUGCGCGCACGUCUCACAAGAUUUUCCUUAUAUCAAUAACCUCGCAUGUGAUUGGAGGAGCCCGACAGGCUUCUCGCCUUCGUCCAAUCACGUGCGAGGUCAUGGCCACGCCCACGACUCAUACAGCAGUACAAGACGAGCAUAACAGACGUUUGGUGUUUGUAACCCUCCAAGAAGAGAAGACGGGUGCACAAUCCCAAGAUUGCGGUAAGAAUAAUUUUAUGUAUAAGCAUAUUUUUAAGUAGCCCAAGCUGUGUGUUUUAUAACUAAGAGGUGUUUUUUGUCUUGUAAUUUUUAGGAGGCUGUACGGCGUCUCUGAGGCACACUGCAGGCGCUAUGAACCAGAGCAAAGACUAACGUCGCCUCAUAACGAAGCUGUAACCUCCUAUUUGCUUGGGGCUAUUUCAGCAAGUCCAGAUUUAUCUGCUGAGAAUGACGACAUUGUUUCUACGUAUUAUGAGUCGGUACGCCGGAGCUUCAGAUACAAACAACAUGAACUCGCAUCGCAGGCGGAAAAGGCGAAAAGUUUAGCUCGGAGUCGAUCCAGAAGAAAAAUGUUGCUGGAAGCGACUGAGGAUGAGAUGGACAUUUGGAAGUGCGCCACCAUAGAUCUCAUGUCUGAUGAGGAAGACAGCAUUGUUGACGGGGUGUCUGGAUGGACUGUGCGGCCACCGCCCUCUCGCAGCCUGGAACUCUCCGAGCGCUGUGCCACGCUGAAAUCCAGAUUAGAGGCGAUACCAAAGUACAGGGCAAGGGUAACUCGCCAUAUACGCCUGCAAAAGUGACUUUUUACAACGUUUUUGAGGUUUUUUUCAACACUUUGAUCACUUUGAAAAAGAUUUUUAGGGAUCUUUCCCGAAUGUCUUGGGCACUUUUUGACGUGUUUGGAGGAAAACAUA